AGAUUAGUGAGACCGGUCUGCUUUUACUCUGCUCUGCCCGGGAAAAUGCGCUGCGCAGCUUCAGGUAUGAAGAAAGCCAGGAGAGAGCAGCACGAGUGACACUCAACAACCGAGAGACGGGAGAGAAGUAAUUCAUGGCAAACAGUAUCAAAAGCAGAACUAAGAUCAAGAAAUAGAAGAAUGGAGAGAGAACCAGAGUCACCAGUGAGUGAAUGAUGUGGGCCACUGGGCAAACCCAGAAGGUGAAACUUCGAGGAGUUAGUCAUACAUCAUGUUGUGUACUGUAGAGUGGCAUGACCUACAUAUUAAGUCUGUGAAUCAAUGUGGGCAUAACAUUUACUGUUAAACUGAUGAGUAUUAAUAUGACAUUGGCUGAAUUAGAGUAUCUUGUUUCAUGCUCUCGGUAGGAAAUAAUUCACUGGAUUAAAACACAUUGUGGUUGACUCAAACCAGGUUUAUUCUCACAAAAAUCUGAAUUUAAUAUACUGGUAGUCUGGAGCAUGUUUUUUUUUUCACGUUUGUUCAAGGUUUUUGACGAUACAACCUGUCCAUAUUAGCAUAUACUUAAUUUAGCUAGCAACAAAUGACAGAUGGAUUAGUACCGUAAUACCAUUGAGUUUGAUUUGAUCCCCCAUUUAAAAGUUAAUAAGUGUAUUUAAUUAUCUAUCCUAACUCUGCACAUUUAUAUGGUUAGUUAUAUUUUGUUAUUGGCAUUAAGCAUUGGAUUUUCUCUGUUGUCCGUGACAGACAUGUACAUAUACCUGUAGACUGUAACAUUACAUUCAAAUGGAUUUGUGCCCAUUUAAAUGCUUAACACAAAUAAUGUUAUUCUCAUUGUAUCAUACCAAUACGCUAAGCUUAAUGCACACCAGCCUGGAGCUGCAUGUUAGCUGGUAUUUUAGUCCCAGUGCUGCACAGGAAGCCAAUUCAGUCGUUGAUAAUGGAAUUGACAUAACCCCAGGGGCUCUGCUCACUCUGUCUUGUUUCUGCUCAGCUUGCCUGCUGUGAUGAGCUAAACAAAGGGUGUUUCCUACCAGUAGGCUGAGGGAUAUCAUUUACUAACACUUACUGGAAUAGGUAAAUAAAUUUGUGAUGUACAAUGGCAGUGAUCCCUCUCUUUGGCCAAACAAGUCAGUGUUCUCACAAAGCUCAGAUGAAAUGUAGAACAACUGACAUUUACACUGACAAAAGGAUACUGAAAUAACUACAAGUACGUAAACUUUUUGGACAUAAACCAUGAGCCAAUUUGCAAGGAACCUGCACAAUUAUGAUGUCAUAUUGAAAUCAAAUUAUCUUGACACUAAGCUCUGGAUCUGCUAAUAUGUCUUAUUUGAUCUUAGAAAUAUAGGAGUAAAAAUCCCAUGUGUAUUUUCGGCUAACCAGAAAUUAGUUAUUUGUAUGUGUCCAAGGUCUGUAAAGUUAGCAAGACAAAGAGGGCAAUCAGUCCAUAUAACUAGUUCCUGACAUUGACUAGAGCAUUUCCUGUUGUGUAUUUCAUGUAAUUAGCAUAUGAAUUGCAGGCCUGUGAUGUGUGCUAGGGUGCCCGAUACCUGCAACACUCUAAUUAGAGAUAACGAUUUAAAGGAGCGUCAUCCUGUUGCAGGGACAUCUGGUUCCCCAUCCACCUCCUGUCUGGGGGAGGAGAGACUUGGAUGCACCAAAGAAAAAGGAGGCCACACUUCCUCUGUCUGGUUAUCCAGCCCAA